UCCCUGGAGGACUAGUGGUUAGGCCACGAUGCUCUCACCACUGCAGCCCGGGUUCAAUUCCCGGCCAGGGAA
rnacentral:tRNA from 1 species